rnacentral:rRNA from 1 species
ACACUUGAAUAAUUUGAACGAAAGGGAAUACGGUUCCAAUUCCGUACCUGUUGAGUAUCCGUUUGUUAUUAAAUAUGGGCCUCGUGCUCAUCCUGGCAACAGGAACGACCAUAAAAGAAGCCGUCGAGAGAUAUCGAAGAGUUUUCUUUUUCUGUUUUAUAGCCGUACUACCAUGGAAGUCUUUCGCAGAGAGAUAUGGUAGAUGGGCUAGAAGAGCAUGACAUAUACUGUUGUGUCGAUAUUUUCUCCUCGGACCUUGAAAAUUUAUGGUGGGGACAACGCAAACUUCUCAACAAGCCGUACCAAUAUCCGCAGCUGGUCUCCAAGGUGAAGAGUCUCUAGUCGAUAAGAAUAAUGUAGGUAAGGGGAAGUCGGCAAAUUAGAUCCGUAACUUCGGGAUAGAGGAUUGUCUCUGAAGAGAUUGAGAUAGUCGGGCUUGAUUGGGAAACAAUACAUGGUUUAUGUGCUCGUUCCUGGUGGAAUAGACGUUUCUAGCAUUUAUGUUAGUUACUUGUUCCGGCGGAUAGUUUAGUUACGUAGCCAAUUGUGGAACUUUCUUGCUAAAAAUUUUAAAAAUACUAUUUGGGUUAAACCAAUUAGUUCUUAUUAAUUAUAACGAUUAUCAUUAAAAUCAAUUCAGAACUGCACGGACUUGGGGAAUCCGACUGUCUAAUUAAAACAAAGCAUUGUGAUGGCCCUAGCGGGUGUUGACACAAUGUGAUUUCUGCCCAGUGCUCUGAAUGUCAAAGUGAAGAAAUUCAAGUAAGCGCGGGUCAACGGCGGGAGUAACUAUGACUCUCUUAAGGUAGCCAAAUGCCUCGUCAUCUAAUUAGUGACGCGCAUGAAUGGAUUAACGAGAUUCCUACUGUCCCUAUCUACUAUCUAGCGAAACCACAGCCAAGGGAACGGGCUUGGAAUAAUUAGCGGGGAAAGAAGACCUUUUGAGCUUGACUCUAAUCUGGCAGUGUAAGGAGACAUAAGAGGUGUAGAAUAAGUGGGAGAUAUUAGACCUCGGUUUGGUAUCGUCAAUGAAAUACCACUACUCUUAUUGUUUCCUUACUUACUUGAUUAAAUGGAACGUGUAUCAUUUCCUAGCCAUUAUACGGAUAUAUUUAUUAUAUCUUAUGGUAUUGGGUUUUGAUGCAAGCUUCUUGAUCAAAGUAUCACGAGUUUGUUAUAUAAUCGCAAACAAAUUCUUUAAUAAAACGAUGCAUUUAUGUAUUUUUGAUUUGAAAAUUUGGUAUAACUCCAAUUACUCAGGUAUGAUCCAAUUCAAGGACAUUGCCAGGUAGGGAGUUUGACUGGGGCGGUACAUCUCUCAAAUAAUAACGGAGGUGUCCCAAGGCCAGCUCAGUGCGGACAGAAACCACACAUAGAGCAAAAGGGCAAAUGCUGACUUGAUCUCGGUGUUCAGUACACACAGGGACAGCAAAAGCUCGGCCUAUCGAUCCUUUUGGUUUAAAGAGUUUUUAACAAGAGGUGUCAGAAAAGUUACCAUAGGGAUAACUGGCUUGUGGCGGCCAAGCGUUCAUAGCGACGUCGCUUUUUGAUCCUUCGAUGUCGGCUCUUCCUAUCAUUGUGAAGCAAAAUUCACCAAGCGUUGGAUUGUUCACCCAUGCAAGGGAACGUGAGCUGGGUUUAGACCGUCGUGAGACAGGUUAGUUUUACCCUACUAAUGACAAAACGUUGUUGCGACAGCAUUCCUGCGUAGUACGAGAGGAACCGCAGGUACGGACCAAUGGCACAAUACUUGUUCGAGCGAACAGUGGUAUGACGCUACGUCCGUUGGAUUAUGCCUGAACGCCUCUAAGGUCGUAUCCGUGCUGGACUGCAAUGAUAAAUAAGGGGCAAUUUGCAUUGU